CCCUAUUACAGAGUGGAGCAGACCUGGAUACAAAGAACCCAGAAAGGAAUAUGAUGGAGGAACCAGACAAUGACCAAAAUAUAAGAUACAAUAAAACCAAGAGGGACCAAUUUGAAGGAGUGUAUAGCUCUCUCAUCUCUCUCUCUGCAUGUCCCCAUUCCUAUGUCCCCAUCACUCCAGAAGUAAGAAGAAUGAGGCAGCCACUGGAGUGGAUGCUGUCUGCACCUACCAACCUUAUCCCAAGGGCCCAGCUCUAGACAGAGAACAAUUGUACCAAGAGCUGAGUCAGCUGACCCACGGUGUCACCAGGCUGGGCUCCUAUGCCCUAGACAGAGACAGCCUCUAUAUCAACGGUUAUAACCACCAGUACUGGAUCCCUACUACCAGCAGUGCAAAUCUGCCUCUGGUACCCUUCACCCUCAACUUCACUAUCACCAACCUGCAUCACGAGAAGGACAUGGGGCGCCCAGGAUCUGAGAUAUUCAACACCACAGAGAGGAUCUUUAGCCACCUGGUGAGAAUUCUCCAAUGCCUACCCUGUCCCAGCUCAAUCUUGUCCUUAUUCCUUUGGUACACUGUCUCACUGCUCUCUCACACACUCUCUCUCUCUCUCUUUCAUCCUCAGCUGAAAUCCUUAUUUCAGAAGAGCAGUAUUGGGCCCCUGUAUUCUGGCUGCAGACUGAUCCUGCUGAGGUGAGAACUCCAGAGUAGACCUGUAGGUCAUGUGCUAUGUGAGAGAUGACCACCCUGCAUCCACCAUCCCAGGGACACCUGGCCACCAGCCCCACUCUGUCUCCUU
rnacentral:lncRNA from 1 species